rnacentral:rRNA from 1 species
UACGUAGGGCGCAAGCGUUAUCCGGAAUUAUUGGGCGUAAAGAGCUCGUAGGCGGUUUGUCGCGUCUGCCGUGAAAGUCCGGGGCUCAACUCCGCGCCUGCAGUGGGUACGGGCAGACUAGAGUGCAGUAGGGGAGACUGGAAUUCCUGGUGUAGCGGUGGAAUGCGCAGAUAUCAGGAGGAACACCGGUGGCGAAGGCGGGUCUCUGGGCUGUAACUGACGCUGAGGAGCGAAAGCGUGGGUAGCGAACAGG